UACAGAGGUCCCAAGCGUUGUUCGGAUUCAUUGGGCGUAAAGGGUGCGUAGGCGGCGCGGUAAGUCGGGUGUGAAAUCUCGGAGCUUAACUCCGAAACUGCAUUCGAUACUGCCGUGCUUGAGGACUGGAGAGGAGACUGGAAUUUACGGUGUAGCGGUGAAAUGCGUAGAUAUCGUAAGGAAGACCAGUGGCGAAAGCGGCGCACUGGACCACAUCUGACGCUGAGGCGCGAAAGCUAGGGGAGCAAACAGG
rnacentral:rRNA from 1 species